rnacentral:rRNA from 1 species
UACGUAGGUGGCAAGCGUUGUCCGGAUUUAUUGGGUUUAAAGGGUGCGUAGGCGGUCUAUUAAGUCAGUGCUGAAAUACUCCAGCUUAACUGGAGGGGUGGCAUUGAUACUGGAAGACUUGAGUGCAGUCGAAGUAGGCGGAAUUGACGGUGUAGCGGUGAAAUGCUUAGAUAUCGUCAAGAACACCGAUAGUGAAGACAGCUUACUAGGCUGCAACUGACGCUGAGGCACGAAAGUGUGGGGAUCAAACAGG